CCGCGGGGUCCUAAUACAUGCAAGUCGAGCGGUAGAGAGAAGCUUGCUUCUCUUGAGAGCGGCGGACGGGUGAGUAAUGCCUAGGAAUCUGCCUGGUAGUGGGGGAUAACGUUCGGAAACGGACGCUAAUACCGCAUACGUCCUACGGGAGAAAGCAGGGGACCUUCGGGCCUUGCGCUAUCAGAUGAGCCUAGGUCGGAUUAGCUAGUUGGUGAGGUAAUGGCUCACCAAGGCGACGAUCCGUAACUGGUCUGAGAGGAUGAUCAGUCACACUGGAACUGAGACACGGUCCAGACUCCUACGGGAGGCAGCAGUGGGGAAUAUUGGACAAUGGGCGAAAGCCUGAUCCAGCCAUGCCGCGUGUGUGAAGAAGGUCUUCGGAUUGUAAAGCACUUUAAGUUGGGAGGAAGGGUUGUAGAUUAAUACUCUGCAAUUUUGACGUUACCGACAGAAUAAGCACCGGCUAACUCUGUGCCAGCAGCCGCGGUAAUACAGAGGGUGCAAGCGUUAAUCGGAAUUACUGGGCGUAAAGCGCGCGUAGGUGGUUUGUUAAGUUGGAUGUGAAAUCCCCGGGCUCAACCUGGGAACUGCAUUCAAAACUGA
rnacentral:rRNA from 2 species